GAUGAACGCUGGCGGCGUGCUUAACACAUGCAAGUCGAACGGAAAGGCCCAAGCUUGCUUGGGUACUCGAGUGGCGAACGGGUGAGUAACACGUGGGUGAUCUGCCCUGCACUUCGGGAUAAGCCUGGGAAACUGGGUCUAAUACCGGAUAGGACCACAUUUUGGAUGGUGUGGUGGAAAGUUUUUCGGUGUGGGAUGAGCUCGCGGCCUAUCAGCUUGUUGGUGGGGUAAUGGCCUACCAAGGCGUCGACGGGUAGCCGGCCUGAGAGGGUGUACGGCCACAUUGGGCCUGAGAUACGGCCCAGACUCCUACGGGAGGCAGCAGUGGGGAAUAUUGCACAAUGGGCGCAAGCCUGAUGCAGCGACGCCGCGUGGGGGAUGACGGCCUUCGGGUUGUAAACUCCUUUCGCUAGGGACGAAGCGUUUUUGUGACGGUACCUGGAGAAGAAGCACCGGCUAACUACGUG
rnacentral:rRNA from 1 species